rnacentral:rRNA from 1 species
AUUGAACGCUGGCGGAAUGCUUUACACAUGCAAGUCGAACGGCAGCACGGGGGCAACCCUGGUGGCGAGUGGCGAACGGGUGAGUAAUACAUCGGAACGUGCCCGGUCGUGGGGGAUAACGUAGCGAAAGUUACGCUAAUACCGCAUACGAUCUGAGGUUGAAAGCGGGGGACCUUCGGGCCUCGCGCGAUCGGAGCGGCCGAUGUCAGAUUAGGUAGUUGGUGGGGUAAAGGCCUACCAAGCCGACGAUCUGUAGCUGGUCUGAGAGGACGACCAGCCACACGGGGCCUGGGCCAGGCCCCGACCUCUCAGGGGGGGCAGCAGGGGGGAUUUUUGGCAAAUGGGCGCAACCCUGACCCGGCCAUUCCGCGGGAAGGACGAAGGCCUGCGGGUUGUAAACUUUUUUUGUAUGGAACGAAAAGGCUCUGGCUAAGACCUGGGGCUCAUGACGGUACCGAAAGAAUAAGCACCGGCUAACUACGU